rnacentral:misc_RNA from 1 species
GAGACGGUUUAUAAACUAUCCGAUACAUGUCCCAAAGGGUAUCUCCGUUGCUUGGAAUCUGGUGAAUGCAUUCACGCUCUACUGCGUACUUCCCAUUUGGUACCACCUAUCAAGGUCUUACGUGUAAAGGCAAUCGGGACUUAUUUGACACCAUGUGAUGUAAACAAUUAAAUUUAACAAUGGGCUGUGAUGAUGUGUCGGAUUGCCUUGACGAAUCAGACGAAGACCCAUAUACUUGUAGUUAGUCAUUUUAAAGACCCCUUACAUAUGAACGAAACUUCCCCGACGUUAGCUUGCGUGUAAUCACUGUGCUUGUAAUGCCAUGGCAACCAGGAAUCAGGAGUCAAUGUAUUGUUCCUGCGGGUCAAACAUGUUUCCCCGGCGGUGGUCCUGUGCAUUUAAUCGGAGAGGUUACGAAGGUUGUUGACAUAAAAUGGCUUCCACAGAUUGUUAGACUAGAGGGACAGAUGAAGUACUUCUAUAAUGAAACAGACGGCAUUCAAAGAAGUGGGGGGAUGAACUUAUUUACGACAUAUUUCACCGCCAGUGGUAAAACUGUCACAAAGUGGGGAAAUGACGAAUACGAUUUCAAAGCUGUAGCACAUGUUGCGUAUUUUAUGGGAUCCUCAAGAAGUUACGCACGAAUAUAUAGCGGAGUUAGCCAAGACUAUUGUGGAGGAUGCUAUUUUCAACCUGCAAAUGCCUAGACCUGUAACGCAAUCAAUUUUUUGAUUCGAUCAGUGUCAUAUAUUGUAUUGUAUUGUAUUGUAUCUUUUAUUCCUCCACAAGGGAGAGCAAACAUAUGAAAUUACAUCAUUUUAAU